rnacentral:lncRNA from 1 species
UUGUAUAUCCAUUGCCUUGUAUGGCUUAAGUAAAGACACAUGGAAUACAUGAUGGAUUUUUAUAGACUCCGAUAGGUAUAAUCAAUAAACAAUUAGUUUGAUCUAUUUACAAAUGGAAAAUGGUCUAAGCCUAUUAUAAUCUAGCUUAUCACAAAGACAAAUAGUUUUAAUAUUACGACAAAGUAAUCAUACUUUAUCUUCUAUAUGGAAUUGGGAUUGUUUUUUAUGAUAGACAUCUGCAUUGGCUUUUUGUCGUUCUUGAGCUUCUUUUAAUUGUGCCUUCAUUAUUGCAUGUAGCUCUGACAAUCAAUUUGCUACAUCUUCUGCCAUAAGAUUAUCAACUUUUGAAAAGUCAAAAGUGUCAAAUCAUGAAUGAUAAUCAUAAUUAGAAAAGAAAGAUAUUUGUUGAGUAGAAGAAUGUACCGAAUUAUUACAAGUAAACUUUGCCAAUGGCAAAAGAAUUGUUCAAUCAUCUUGUUGAUAG